AUUGAACGCUGGCGGCAUGCUUUACACAUGCAAGUCGAGCGGCAGCGCGGGGGGCAACCCUGGCGGCGAGCGGCGAACGGGUGAGUAAUGCAUCGGAACGUACCCUGGAGUGGGGGAUAACGCCGCGAAAGCGGCGCUAAUACCGCAUAUGCUCUGAGGAGGAAAGUGGGGGACCUGCAAGGGCCUCACGCUCUGGGAGCGGCCGAUGUCCGAUUAGCUAGUUGGUGGGGUAAAGGCUUACCAAGGCGACGAUCGGUAGCUGGUCUGAGAGGAUGAUCAGCCACACUGGGACUGAGACACGGCCCAGACUCCUACGGGAGGCAGCAGUGGGGAAUUUUGGACAAUGGGGGCAACCCUGAUCCAGCCAUGCCGCGUGAGUGAAGAAGGCCUUCGGGUUGUAAA
rnacentral:rRNA from 1 species